GAUGAACGCUAGCGACAGGCCUAACACAUGCAAGUCGAGGGGCAGCAUGAAAUUAGCUUGCUAAUUUUGAUGGCGACCGGCGCACGGGUGAGUAACACGUAUGCAACCUGCCUGUAAGCGGGGGAUAACCCGGAGAAAUUCGGACUAAUACCGCAUAAUAUCCAUGAUUCGCAGGUUUCCAUGAUUCAAAAUUUGUUGCUUACAGAUGGGCAUGCGUAUGAUUAGCUAGUUGGCGGGGUAACGGCCCACUAAGGCGACGAUCAUUAGGGGUUCUGAGAGGAAGGUCCCCCACAUUGGAACUGAGACACGGUCCAAACUCCUACGGGAGGCAGCAGUGAGGAAUAUUGGUCAAUGGACGCAAGUCUGAACCAGCCAUGUCGCGUGAAGGAUGACUGUCCUAUGGAUUGUAAACUUCUUUUAUAUGGGGAUAAAGUGUGAGACUUGUCUCAUUUUGCAUGUACCAUAUGAAUAAGCAUCGGCUAACUCCGUGCCAGCAGCCGCCGUAAAAC
rnacentral:rRNA from 1 species